GGGAAGGACUUGCUCUCCCAUAACACCUUGUGCCUGAGCCAAAGGCACAAAAGAGAAGUGAACAGGGACUGCUGGGAUCAACACUGUGAGGUAGACAGGAUAGCUUCCAGGUGAUUACUGCAAUUAGGAAAGUGAGCAGGUGGGAGUGGAACAGGUGGCAGCCUUAGCAGCUGCUGGUGAGCAGCACAGAUGCCUCGGGCAAGCCAGGAGCUGCAGUACCAAACACAAAUAUGACGGUGGCAGGGAUGGCAGUAACCUAAAUCAAGAUAAAAGUAGUGGCUGCCCAAGCAAGGUUACAGCACACCCUGGGGAGAAGGAAGAAGACAUCUGGCACUCCACUGGCCUUGGGACUAUCAGUAACAACACAGAUCCCUUUUCAAUCUGAGCUAGUAAAUGUGUCAUGUGCAGCUGUCAUAUGGAAGAGCGAUUACCCUAGAGCCAAACUGCUGGAACUGUCUCUGAACUAUUGCAUAGAUAUCUUUGUGGUUCCUUCCUCAAUACUGAAAGAUUGUCAUGAAGAAUAGUGACUUUAUGAACUAAGGGCAGGAAUGGAAGUGGAUGCUGGCCAAUUAGAUCUAUAACAACGUUGGUGCUGCAUGUGAAGUUUCGAACACUCCCCAGGUGAGGAAUC